CUGUGAAGAAACGGAGAGGCCAAGAUGGCGGCCGGCAGGUGGGGCCGAAGGCUGCAGGGGCUGUGCUGCCACUGAGACCUAGCAGAAAGCAGGGGCAGAUCCAGUGUGCCGUCCCUCUUUGAGUACUGCUGUGAUGCCAACAUCUAGCACCGACCUGGUGCAGGUAUUCCAAAACUCUGCAGAGGCAAUGGGGGUCUUUCCUCCCAAAUUCAACUCCUAAACUUUAUGCCACAAUAAAGCCUUCCUUC